rnacentral:rRNA from 1 species
UACGUAGGGGGCAAGCGUUAUCCGGAAUCAUUGGGCGUAAAGCGCGUGUAGGCGGUUCCGUAAGUCCGCUCUGAAAGCCCAGGGCUCAACCCUGGGAGGCGGGUGGAUACUACGGAACUGGAGUACGGAAGAGGAGAUUGGAAUUCCUGGUGUAGCGGUGAAAUGCGCAGAUAUCAGGAGGAACACCAACAGCGAAGGCAGAUCUCUGGGACGUUACUGACGCUGAGGCGCGAAAGCGUGGGGAGCAAACAGG